ACGGAAGGCAGCAGUGGGGAAUAUUGGGCAAUGGGCGCAAGCCUGACCCAGCAACGCCGCGUGAAGGAAGAAGGCUUUCGGGUUGUAAACUUCUUUUACCAGGGACGAAGGACGUGACGGUACCUGGAGAAAAAGCCACGGCUAACUACGUGCUAGCAGCCGCGAUAAUACGUAGGUGGCAAGCGUUGUCCGGAUUUACUGGGUGUAAAGGGCGUGUAGGCGGAGCUGCAAGUCAGAUGUGAAAUCCCGGGGCUCAACCCCGGAACUGCAUUUGAAACUGUAGCCCUUGAGUAUCGGAGAGGCAAGCGGAAUUCCUAGUGUAGCGGUGAAAUGCGUAGAUAUUAGGAGGAACACCAGUGGCGAAGGCGGCUUGCUGGACGACAACUGACGCUGAGGCGCGAAAGCGUGGGGAGCGAACAGGAUUAGAUACCCUGGUA
rnacentral:rRNA from 1 species